rnacentral:rRNA from 1 species
UACGGAGGGGGCUAGCGUUGUUCGGAAUUACUGGGCGUAAAGCGCACGUAGGCGGCUUUGUAAGUUAGAGGUGAAAGCCCGGGGCUCAACUCCGGAAUUGCCUUUAAGACUGCAUCGCUAGAAUUGUGGAGAGGUAAGUGGAAUUCCGAGUGUAGAGGUGAAAUUCGUAGAUAUUUGGAAGAACACCAGUGGCGAAGGCGACUUACUGGACACAUAUUGACGCUGAGGUGCGAAAGCGUGGGGAGCAAACAGGG